rnacentral:lncRNA from 1 species
AUGAGCAGUGAACCUCUCAAUGGCUGGAAAGCCAUCUGUAAAAGUCCUGGGAAGAGAGGAGUGACCCCAAAGAGUCAAAUCCCCUUUAUUGCCUACAACCCCCCUCUGUGUGCCAGGGACACUAGGGCUGCUGGGCCAGCCUUCAUUAGGAAAGUGCAAAAGAACUGGAACAUUUCCUUGCUGAAGUACAAAGGCCCUUUGCCUCUUUUUGUUGGCUUAGAAGUUUCAAUCAGCCUCAGAGUUUCAAAGAUUCAACCAGUGGAGUUCCAACUGGGCUAGAAUUGAGUAGGGCCCUGGGUACUGAGUAGGGAAGCAAGUGACUCAGCCCACUCAGUAGCCCUGGACUGGUGAGAUCUCCUUACAAAGGUUGAAAUGCAAUAUUAUAUGAUUUGAGCCAUCACAGGAAUAGCAGAGAACAAGCUGAUGAAAUACCACUUUACCCUUCACUUUCAAACAACUGUUUAUUACCCAGGAAAUUUUGAAAGAAUAUUAACAACUGUUCUUAAGGACUUAUCAAACCCAUUCUCUAAUGUCACACAUUCAGAGCAGGCAGCUUCCUUUGAAAGUCAGAAAACAGCCAGGCCAUCCUAGCUGGUAGUUGGAGAGUCAGUGAUGGACAUAUACAUAAAAGCUGAGUUAAGUGAAAGGGAAAGAGGAAAGAAACAUUAGAAAGGGGCAUGGCAGCUCAGCAGAAAAGUCACAGAGGAAGGACUAGGGAGAGCAAGCUCCAUUGUGUGUUAGCCCAGCUCUCAGCCAAGUCAGGGGAAGACAGAAGAAGACCAGCAUACAGAGAACCCACUUAUUGUCAGUUUUUGUUACACCCCAUUAUGGUUAAGAGACCAGAUGAGCUUUUUUCCCCUAUGAUGCUAAGAGAAGGACAGUUACUUAUAAAGGACAAUUUCAGAGAGGAGGCUCAGUGCCACAUAUAAUUCACUAACAUCUCCUGGCAUGGUCUCAUUGCUCAGUCUCCACUCACAUAAAUUAAAUGAUUAGGUGGUUCUCUUGAUUUUGCUAAUCAGUUCCACAAAUGUCUAUCAUAUACUAUAUAUGAAGCCACUUUACAUAGCACUGGUGAUGUAAAGACAAAUGAAAUUUUAGCCUUGUACUCAAGUAGACCACAGUCUACUGGAUGGGAUGCAACAACAUGGUAAUGGUAGUAUGGGAAAUUAGAAGUGGCUCGGCCCUCAGACUCUCACAAAACUGGAUUUGAAUCUUUGCCUGGUUCCUCCUUUCCUUCCUCUGUACUUUCUUUCCGCCAUUAAACCGAUGUUUUCUAGGGGCCUUAAUAUGCUACUGCUAAGCUGCUAAGUCACUUCAGUUGUGUCCGACUCUGUGCGACCCCANNNNNNNNNNNNNNNNNNNNNNNNNNNNNNNNNNNAUUCUCCAGGCAAGAACACUGGAGUGGGUUGCUAUUUCCUUCUCCAAUCCUUAAUGUGCAGACCUGUGCUAAUAAGUACAUAGACAUAUAACGCUGGUAAUACAGAACACCCCUGCACUCAGGAAGAACUAAUCACAAAAUAAAAUCAGUGAGAGAGGCCAAUAUUGUGAUAGGCUUUUGAGAAAAGAGUUUUACUGAGAGAUCAAUCAGGAAGAAGAUAGGAGGCAAAGCACUAAAGUCUGUUUCCUGGAUCCAGGGUUCAGUGUGAGAUAGACUGAGGGCUCCUGCAUAGGGCAAGAGGCACUCCAGGAACAUUGUGGGGUCACACAGGCUGCAACAUCCUCCCAGGAUGCUGAGCCCCACAACAAUCCAGCCUUGGAACCCAAGCCUGCCCAGUCUCCAGAGAGGUGAUUCCAGCCAAGGAAACCAAGUUAUGCAAAGCCACUGGCAACAUAAUCAUGAGCGGCUAUGUAGAGUGCCUCAUGGAAAAAAAAAAAAACACUGAAUUGGAAUUCUCCCAAAAGCAGACUUCGUUAAUGCUUUGCCAGCUGAGGACCGAAAGAAAAAGUAGGUGAUGUUUUCAGUCUGUGCUUUGCUUCUGAUGAAGCUGAUGUUUAGCAACAUUAGGAAGUUUGCUCAAGAUAACAUAGCAGAGAUCAAGCCCUGACAUUUGGAGUGGAAGCACUGACUCCAAGACCCUAGACUGCCAGAGAACUAACCCUAGGGGGUANNNNNNNNNNNNNNNNNNNNNNNNNNNNNNNNNNNNNNNNNNNNNNNNNNNNNNNNNNNNNNNNNNNNNNNNNNNNNNNNNNNNNNNNNNNNNNNNNNNUUCAUUGUUUUUGUUAUUAUUUGUCUUAUUUUGUCUUUACCAUUUGUGUGGGAUCUUCUUUUUAUAUUUUGUUUAUUUUUGUGUUUGUUUUAUUCCCCCUUUAAUGCCAUAACAAAUAACUUGUGGAAUUUUGGAUCUCUGACCAGAGAUUGGGCCUGAGCCUUUGGAGUGGGAGCACUGAGUCCAGGACUCUAGGCUGUCAGAAAAUUCCUAAAUUCAGGGAGAAUUAAUUAGUGAGAUCGCCCACAAAGGCCUCCGCCUACAUAAAAGAGCCAGUAUCACUCAACUGCUUGCAGCACCCAGGGCAGGAUUCUUCACUCAAAAACAAGCAAGACAAAAAUACAAAUCCAAUCAUCAGCAUACCCUAUUCACCCCAAAACAUAGUACUUUACAUAUCCUUGCCCAUUAGAGAGAAAACAAAACAAAACAAAACAAAAAACUCAACUUCUCCCACAGAAUAUGGGUACAAAUCACUCUCAACACAAAGCCUACACAAACAACCAGACCAGCCUUAUCUACCAAGGGCAGAAACAAGAAGGAAGGAGGGACACAACCCUAAAACCUAGGAAAAGGGGACCUCAGAGUAAGUUAGAAAAAAAUGAAGAGACAGAGAAAUACCAUGCAAAUGAAAGAACAAGGUAAGAACUCACAGACCAAGUAAAUGAAGAGGAAAUAGGCAAACUUCCUAAAAAAGAUUUCAGAGUACAGAUAGAAAAGAUGAUUCAAAACCUCA